ensembl:lncRNA
GAGAUGGACACUGGGCUCAACUCAGCUGGAAGAACUGCAUCCUGCAUAUGUUCUCCUGCUGGAGACUUCCAUGCUGUGAGCUUUGCCUGUGACAAAGCUGUCUUCCUUCUAACAAAGGAAUUACCGUGGCUCUUUUGGAGCAGCAGAUAUACAGCACAAUGGAAGGUACCGAAUGCUUAGGGAAAGAGCAUGAGAAGAGAGACAACUUAUAGAGGUCCUGCUCAUGGCAAGCCCUGCUCAGAGCUGCCUGGCAGUGAGCGGUCUGACCCCUGCCUUCAGCAGGUGCCAGUGCUCCUGAAUUUAUCUCCACCUUCUCUGAGCCCAGAGGUACACAAACAGAUCAGCCCAUUUGCUAAAAGCCUCAGCACUGACACCACGGUAUCCAUGGCAACGCCCCAACCUGCGCAAGCAUCUGCAGACACUUCAAAAUACCAAGAGAUGACAAGGAGUCGCUUCAGACAAUGGAUGUUUAUGGGUGUCACAACCAUCUGAAAUACCUCUCUCUCCACCCAUCAGCUUCCUUGAUUAUAACAUGCUUUAUAUUGUUCUUGCAGCUCCUUUGUCAGAAGCCAUGAUUCAAGGCAGAAUUAAUCCCUGUUUUGAUGUUCAUUUGCUUGUGGCUUUUUUUUUUCAUUUAGAUGACUGGCUGAGGUACCUCAUGGGAAUGAGCACCCCAAGCUCUGCUGUUAACCUUCCUCUUUGAACUGAGUUGGAGUACAGGCUCUUCAAAUGAUAAAAUCCAAAGCUGUAAUUGAAAAAGAAGUGGUUUCUGUCAACUAACUAACAGAGGUGGUUGUGUGAGUGCUCGGCUGAGUGGUGAUUUGCCACAUCACAUUGCAUGAGCUACUGCUUUCCUAUAGUGAUGAUAGAUUUAAUAAGAUCCAGUGAACCAUUUUUGAGGAAUGUUUUAACUGAAGUUUAUCCACCUGUUGGCAUAGCAGAGACUGUGCUACUGUGUUUACAGACGCUGGUCUUCACCAAACCUGAAGGUUGUUCAGCUCUGCUUUCAGGAGAUAACAUUCAGGUGCUCAGGCUGCAUAUCUGAAGCUGGUGGCAGAAAAUGUAUCAGUUCAUUAGACCAGGUGCUUACCUGCAACAACACCUGUAAUUCAGACUAAGUAACUGCAUCUAGAGCACCGAUAAACUGUUAAGUCCUGGGCUGAUGAUGACCAUGGGUUAGGAGCAGUUUUAUAACACAGCAAAACAGCAGGAACUCUUCAGGCAUUCAGGGCCAUCUUCCUCAAAUCAGGGAAGUAUUUCAACCUGACUAAGAUGUGAUGGGUGUGCUUAUCAAUCAGGUUGAGGCCAUUCUCAAAACUAGACUGGACAACUGCAUGUGUUGUUCACACAAAGGCUGAGUGUGAGGCUGAGUUUGAGGUUUGGUAAUGGGGAAGAGCCCAAGCACACUGAUGCUUAACCUCCAGCCACAGCCUCGUUCUGUCUGUAAUGUUUCCACUCUCUUAAGAAGUAAUAUUGGUGUUUUAUUCAUAGAAAGGCAGAAAGAAAUACAAAGCCCAAACCCAAGACGAACUAUGUUGCCCCAUAUUGUGAUGUUAACUUGAUUAAGCUAAUCUGUUUUUAGCUGAUGGUUUAAGCUUCAGGCUUGGAAAAGCAGUAGCAUUUACAUGUUUGAACACAAGAGGAGCAUAUUAAAAAGCCUUAUCAAAAUUCCACAUUAAUAAAACAAGCUAUCAGUGCA